ACUUUGGUUUGAUGAGUUGAUAAGCCUGUGGGUGUCGGUGCAGAACCUUCCAAGCUGGGAAGUGAAUCUUGUCAGCCUUUUUGCACGACUGGCAAAUGACAACAUUGGUUACAUAGAUUGGGACCCUUAUAUACCGAAGAUCUUCACUAGGAUCUUAAGGAGUCUUAAUCU